UCAAGGUUCAUGCAAGUUUUUUCACAUACGCCAACAUUCUCUUGGUGUUUUCUGACUUCUGCUCACUCAAGUGCCAGGAACACAGGAAAACUGGAAGUAAUAUGCAUAUUCAGUUAUGAAGAGGAAUAGUCUGGCCAUCUAGGAAAUAUUUCACUCUACCUUCCAGCACACACAGAAGUUUAAAAAUAAUGUAAAUGUAAAUACUUGCUCGUGCCAAACACUUCAUUUGCCAAGAAGAAACGGUGCAUUUUGUAUCAGGAUUACAUUAUAACCAAGAUUAAUUUUUGUGUUGUCUCUGGCAAUUCUUUAACAAAAACACCUCCUGAUGAAACACAACGUGUAAGUCACAGGUUUUGUAUGUUCAGGGAAACUUCUCUCAACAGCUGACUUACAAAUGUUCAUACUAAACAAGCUGUACUAUAACCUGCUUUUAAUCUAACUGCCAGAUACUACAGAGGUAAUGUCUUGGGAGAUGGCACCAGGUUUUUGAAGAAGGAGCUACCCAGUGAUAAAGAUCUUACGGAAAACCAGAACUAUUUAACAAAACCAAUAAAUGAACAUACCCCAAAUUCUCUUAGGAGAAGGGAAAUAUCUCACCAUUGCAAUGUAAGGCAACCAUCAUCCAGUAAGAACUCAGGCCAAGCCUCAAGUGGUGCAUCACAGCAUGAAUCAUAAGGUUGUUUGGUGCAAAUGCACAGAUUCACUGAUCAAAAACAUGCCUGCAACUUCUGUAUCCAGGUCUGCUCUCUUGCUUAGCAAAAGAAAUCAACCUCCCUAAAAAAGCAACCAUUUUAUGUAUCUACAUUUGUAUAUGUAGAUUCAUCAAUAUUCAAAAUCAUCCACUAUAAAUUCAAAGAUUAGUUCUGGGAACAAAACAGGCAUCAUCAAAACAGAAACCUAAGAAGAAAUAAAAGGGAAUAGAAGGGACAACUGACAAGUGGUAAAGAAAUAGUGAGAAAAUAUGUGUGAAUAUGUUGGAUCAUUAUCAGAUGGAUCUUCCCUUGCAUCCAAUUUUAGUUACUUUUGAGAAUAGUCAUGUGACUAAAAAUUUGCUCACGGCUGUCAUUCUCAAGACACACUACGUGCAAGAUUCAGCCUGGAAAGCAAACGAGCAGGAGUAUCGUGCACCGUUUGAGUCUUGUUGACUCCUACCAUGGCAAAACUUUUUGAUUAGAAGUAAAUUUCACUGACUUUGAGUAAUGCGUCAGACUCUCCUUCCAACAACCAAAUGAUACUUUUCUGAGUCAAAUGUAGUUUAUAAGGCUUGUCAUUAAGCAUGACUGAGAUGACCAAUCACACCACAUGAACAUGGACUCAUCACCACUAAGCGAUGUCAAAAAAAUAACCACAUCAAGAAAACCAAAAGCUUAAAAUUUGGAACAGCACAGAGACUGAAAAACUUCAGUUUCUACACAAGCAAUUUGUCAAAAGAAAAAACACUAAAUUUGACAAGGAAAUUCUUUUGCUGAAAAGUAAAUGCUCAGUUAUACGAUUACAUUGCUGGUGUUCCCCUGCUCCUCUUCUUCCUCCUGAGUUUCUAUCUAGGAAAUAUUUCCAGAACUUGCUGGUUCAGUUACCUCUUUCAGUCUUGGCAUUCAGAGGUUCCAGCAACAAAGCCUUGUUAUUAUAAAUACUUCAGCUAUAACAUUUCUAAGGAAAUUAGACAGAGUAUCAUAAUCUCCUGCUGACUCUCACCUAGCAAUUUUAAAUUCUCUAGUGUGGGAGAAGACUCCGAGGUCAAAACACUAAUUUUAUUAUUUCAUUAAAAGCAAAAGAGGAAAAUUAGGAUAAAAAUUUCAAAGCCUGGGAAGUCAGGUAACAGCAAGACGAGAGAGGAUGAAAACCAGCACUGCAUCGAUGACUCUGGAAAAUCCCAAGUCAAAGUACAUCACAAAUUUUAUUUUGGUACAACACAAUGAUAAACAGUACACUUGGAUUGCACAGACUUUUAAAAAAAGUUUUUUUAACCUUUCUCAUUUAUUCUUAUACUUGAAUAACAGCCCAUUCCUGAGUUUGCAGUCAUGCAAAUUCUCCUCACUCGCACGUAAAGUUACAUUGGCUUCCAGAAGAUUAUUUCUCUGAGUACAGACAUCAACCCUGAACAUUACCUUCUGGCCUUCAAACUUGUCAUGUAAUAUCUAGUAUUUAGAUAUUAGCUACUAUCUAGAAAUUAGCAGUUUUCACGUAACCAAAGUAUUUCAUUGCCUCGCAGAAGUAUAUGCAAUGAAUCAGGGGUAGCAUGAGAGAUGCUCUGUCACUCUCUCUUGCACUCAGCAUUACUUUACAGAAUAAUAUAGUAUCAAAGAUAAUAUCCAGCCUCUGGAACAAGCAAAUCACAGACUAACUAAUACAGAACAUUAAAGCCAAAAGUAAUUUUCCCUGCCCCCCUCGAGAACUGUAACCAACACUAUAGAAAAGGCUGAAUGAAAUCUUGCUGAGUCCUGUGUGGAGCCCAGUUGCAAGCCAAAAGUGAUGUAAGAUUUGCCUGGAGUUUGAACCGAGCCCUCUGCAUUCUUCUGAGAGCUCACCAUUAAAAGAAGAAUAAAUGUUAGCAAUAAAAAGUCCAAGAGAAUGAACAUCUGAAAGCCUAGUCUAAAGAUCUGCAAGGGACCUCAUAAAUACAUAGUAAACAUCCUCACUGAUGGAUUCCCCAGAGGAGAAAAAUUCUACAUUACCCACAUAGCACAUUUUUUGCAAACCAUUUCUUUCUGUCUGGAUACAAAGAAGUGAAGCAGAGCAUUUAACAUAUAACUGGUAAAAUUCAAAGUUUAAAGCCAAGGAAAACAUCCAAGAUUAGAGCUGCUCAACAAAAUCAUCUUUCUCUUCACAUAGUUUUCUUUUUAUUCUUAUAAUUUGUUGAUGAAUCAGCAAAUGAGACUCUUAACUGUCGGUACUGUUAGAUAUCAUGACUUUGGGUGCACAAAGAGAAAUUAAACAGUAUGGGCUUGAAUCACAUCAACACUACAGGCAACUGCUGUGGGUUUUGCCACCCAAUGUGUUGGUAAGGGAUUAGGGUGUUUGCUGUCGAUUCAUACUCUGGUGCCCUAAGCUUUGAAGAAUGUAGUAGGUCCUGGCAAUUUUUGUUGGCUCAGGUCCCUCAUACAUGGGCCGUAUGUGACCAAGAGUAGCUUCUCAUGAAGAACACAGCAGAAAGUCGAGCGUGCUCUGCCACAAAGCCCCUGGGAAGAGGGGUUUGUUGGCACAUCCCUACCUUCAAGCAAGCAGCUAGCAGGGGUGCAACUUAAUAGUUAUUCAGCUCCAGGCAAAAACGGCAUAGGUCUCUUCUAAGGCAGACU